CUCAUGUAUGAACAUUCAGAUAUCACCGCGAAGCUCUCUUAGGCAUGCUUGCGAGAGAAACACCACUUUCCAAAUGCCACAUUUCAACCUGUUCUCAGUCCAAGAGGAAGGUGGCCACCAAACGCAUAAUUAGGAGAUCUGCUUAGAGAAGAAAAGCUGAACAACCCCCCCCCCGCCCUCAUGCCUCUGUGAAGGACCAAAGGCAGAUGAACAGAUUUAAAGGGAACACAUACCAGCUACAGAAAAAGAGGGAUGAACAUAUCACAAGCCUGGAAGUGGACAGGCUUCUGAUAACAAAUGGCAUCAUUUUUCAUGAGACAAGCAGA